AACUACCCAGUAACAAGGACGAAAGUGUAUUUUGCUGCCCCAGGAUGAGCGCUGAACUGUUCCUGCCACAAAGAGUUUUGCUGACUGAGAACCAACUUGUGGUCACCUCUGCAAAAGCUGAAGGAGUGCUGUUGCUGCAGGGAUGCCAUGAAGAUGCAAGUUUCUCUGGAUGCUGAAGARUUCUAGGAAAUCUCUCAGAGAUCCACAAGAGUCUGGAAAUCCUUUCAUCAGCUUCAGAUUGCUUCUGUAUCCCUUCUGCAGAAAUUGCGUUUGGAGCUCCGCACAUCCUGUGCAUUGCAAGAUCCUUUCCAGAACUUGCUCUUUAAAUGCCUGGUUUKCUUUUYCUGUGCCUGAUAAGAAGGAAACAUUUCUGCUUUGACUGCCUUGAAUUUGCACUUUGUCUGAAGUUCUCAGAAAUGGUAUUUUUCCAAUGUUAUCUUUUGAGUGAUUUUGUUCCUUAAUAACAGAAUUUCUAUCAAAACUGACCAUCUCUGUUUCUUCCAGUCUGUUUUAAAGACUUUAGAGGACUUUCAUAGAAGGUUUUAURCCUUCUUAAAAGGGUUCUGGGAAGAAUGCUGCUGAAAGCUCUGGCUCUCC
rnacentral:lncRNA from 1 species